rnacentral:rRNA from 1 species
AACGCGAAGAACCUUACCUGGGCUCGAACGGCUUCGGACAAACUGUGGAAACACGGUCUUCCCGCAAGGGACUGGAGUCGAGGUGCUGCAUGGCUGUCGUCAGCUCGUGUCGUGAGAUGUUGGGUUAAGUCCCGCAACGAGCGCAACCCUUGUCCUGUGUUGGCAUGCCGCAAGGCGCAACUCUCAGGAGACCGCCAGCGAUAAGCUGGAGGAAGGUGGGGAUGACGUCAAGUCAUCAUGGCCUUUAUGUCCAGGGCCACACACGUGCUACAAUGGGCGGUACAAAGCGCUGCCAACCCGCGAGGGGGAGCUAAUCGCCAAAAACCGUCCUCAGUUCGGAUUGCAGGCUGCAAUUCGCCUGCAUGAAGCUGGAAUCGCUAGUAAUGCUAUAUCAGAACGAUAGCGUGAAUACGUUCCCGGGCCUUGUA